CAAGCGGUGGAGCAUGUGGUUUAAUUCGAUGCAACGCGAAGAACCUUACCUGGUCUUGACAUCCACGGAAGUUUUCAGAGAUGAGAAUGUGCCUUCGGGAACCGUGAGACAGGUGCUGCAUGGCUGUCGUCAGCUCGUGUUGUGAAAUGUUGGGUUAAGUCCCGCAACGAGCGCAACCCUUAUCCUUUGUUGCCAGCGGUCCGGCCGGGAACUCAAAGGAGACUGCCAGUGAUAAACUGGAGGAAGGUGGGGAUGACGUCAAGUCAUCAUGGCCCUUACGACCAGGGCUACACACGUGCUACAAUGGCGCAUACAAAGAGAAGCGACCUCGCGAGAGCAAGCGGACCUCAUAAAGUGCGUCGUAGUCCGGAUUGGAGUCUGCAACUCGACUCCAUGAAGUCGGAAUCGCUAGUAAUCGUGGAUCAGAAUGCCACGGUGAAUACGUUCCCCGGGCCUUGUACACACC
rnacentral:rRNA from 1 species